UCAAGUUCUAACAUCAAAAUCACAAUCUUGCUCAUCAUGUCACCGGAAAAUUUUUGCAACAUCCAUAUGUUUAUGGAGUGUUUGUGUUUGAAGCCAUGGCGACUUACGUUGGGCAAGUUUCUGUGCUAUCCAUCAUUGCUCUUUUCGGUGCAGCCACCCCUGCUAUAAUAACGACUGUUAGAAAAGCAGUAACUUUGUUGCUUUCAUAUGUGAUAUUUACAAAGCCAAUGACUAACCAACAUGGGGCAGGGCUUCUUCUUAUAUCUAUGGGAAUCAUAGUUAAGAUGGUCCCAGAAAACCAAAUCCCAAGUUGGAGUUCAGUCCUUGGUAUAUGGAUAUGUAUCCUUCAAAUCAAAGAAUAGUGACUGAGGCAGCUCUAAUCUCUGUUCAAGGAAAGGUACUAGCGUUGUUCAUCAUGUUUAUAUCAUCUUAUUAUUUGUGACUAUAAGCAUGGACCUAUUCUGCAUCCAAAUUUCAUAAAGACAUUUUAAAUUAGAGAUUCUCUGUUUAGAAUUUUGUUUUGAAUGGUGUGUUUUCUAUUUUCUAUAGUGGCUAAUUGAAUGAAUUAAUAGUGACUGAUUGCUCAAAUUUUGUUGCAAAAAGUGUCAAGAAAGCUAGGAGCUUGGCAGCUUUAGUUUUAGUAGGAGAUACAUGUGUUGUAUCAAUUUAUGUUAGUUUCUUUCACAAUUUUUUGUUCAUAUACUACCAUGGUUGUAAGUUUGUAAUUGUACUCUUUAUUACUCUGAAUAAAACUAUAUUUAUUGUUAUAAUUAUUUUCUUAAA